rnacentral:rRNA from 1 species
GUGGAUUAGAUACCCUGGUGGUCCACGCUGUAAACUAUGAUUACUCGUUCUCGGCGAUAUACGGUCGGGGACUAAGCGAAAGUGAUAAGUAAUCCACCUGGGGAGUACGAUCGCAAGAUUGAAACUCAAAGGAAUUGACGGGGGCCCGCACAAGCGGUGGAGCAUGUGGUUUAAUUCGAUGAUACGCGAGGAACCUUACCAGGACUUGAACGCAUUUUGACAGAUUGAGAAAUCAGUCGUUCUUCGGACAAUUUGCGAGGUGCUGCACGGCUGUCGCCAACU